UUCAGGAUGACUCACCCGGAGCCCAGAGGGAGGGAGAGGAGUGAGAAGAGGGAGGGACACGGGGGAAGCCCUGUGCCUCGGCCGCUGGACGACACACAGUUUAAACACAGUGAUGGAGUGGAAUAGCAAACGGGCACCUUCUCAACGAUGUCAGAAGAAAUGCUCUUUUUUCCAACAUGUAAAAAAACGAUAAACCCUCUCUCGCUGCUGAGGGAAUGACUUCUGAUGCUAUCACUCGUUUCCCCCCAGCAGCUGCGCAGGUACAAGCAAGAUGCAACAAGUUGCCGCGGAGGACAUUUUCCUUGCACAAGCAGACAGAAGCUCCCAAUAUAAGAGCCGCAGGAGCACCACAGUUCAUCCGGAACCAUCCACCGGUCUGGUUACCUUGUGAGUGUCUCUUUGCCCGCAGCUGCUGUCUGUUCUCCGGGACGUCCAGCGGCAGAGAGUCGUAGGUUUGCGUCUCCUCAGCUCACUGACUGGAUUAACUACAGCAGCUCGGAGGAGCGGCUCCCCGCCCAGCAAACCAAAUUAGGCAUCAAAUGUCUGCACCGUUAUGUCGGACUUCCCUUACUCCUCCUCCUCCUCCCUGCUACUACACCCCCGGUGUGUAGUGCUGUGCUGCAGAUGAUCAUCACUCUUUCACAAUCUUCUUUAUGGAUUGUAUACACGUUCACCGUGUGGCAGGAAGGGAACUUUCAUGAAUCUGAAGUUAACGUCGUUAUUUUAAUAAAUCUGUCCUGUGUGUGAAGAACCACACAAGAGGACUUUAUCUUUAUGAAUGAA